GGGAUUGUGGCUCAGUGGUAGAGCACUUGCCUAGCAUGUGUGAGGGAUUGGGUUUAAUUCCCAGCACUGCAA
rnacentral:tRNA from 1 species